rnacentral:rRNA from 1 species
AACGAACGCUGGCGGCAGGCUUAACACAUGCAAGUCGAGCGCCCCGCAAGGGGCGCGGCUGACGGGUGAGUAACGCGUGGGAACGUACCUUUUGGUUCGGAACAACUCCGGGAAACUGGAGCUAAUACCGGAUAAGCCCUAACGGGGAAAGAUUUAUCGCCGAAAGAUCGGCCCGCGUCUGAUUAGCUAGUUGGUGAGGUAACGGCUCACCAAGGCGACGAUCAGUAGCUGGUCUGAGAGGAUGAUCAGCCACACUGGGACUGAGACACGGCCCAGACUCCUACGGGAGGCAGCAGUGGGGAAUAUUGGACAAUGGGCGCAAGCCUGAUCCAGCCAUGCCGCGUGAGUGAUGAAGGCCUUAGGGUUGUAAAGCUCUUUUGUCCGGGAAGAUAAUGACUGUACCGGAAGAAUAAGCCCCGGCUAACUUCGUG